AGUGUACUUCUUCCCUAAUGAAAUACUAAGCAUCCUUGUAUCUAAAUUUAGGCAGGGUAAGUUGGAAAGCACUCUAUUUUCUUCUAUUUGCUUUCUUCUUUCUUCAGCUAAUACUGUAACGUUCUAGAUUUUGUGCAAUCACAACAUUGUCUAGCAACCCCUAUAUGAACUAUAGAACUUUUUUCCUUGAUUAUAUACAUAAUGUAUUAACUUUCCACUUUGAAACAAUUUUAGACUGACAUAAAAGUGUUUUCUAUAGAAAAUUGUAGAGUUCUCAUAUGCUCUUCCCCCAGGUUUCCCUAAUGUUAACAUCUUAUGUAGCCAUAAUAUAGUUAUUAUAACCAGAAAAUUAAUAUUCAUGUAAUACUUUUAAUUAAUCUGUAGACCUUAUUCAAAUUUCAUCAGUUUUCCCACUAAUGUCCUUUGUCUGAUCUAGGAUCCUGUGCAGGAUCCAACAUUGCAUUAGAUAGUUCCUCAGUCUUUCGUAAUCAUGACACUUCUUUUUUUUAAAAAAUUUUUUUAAAGUUUAUUCAUUUUUUUGAGAGAGCAUGAGUGGGGGAGGAACAGAGAGAAAGAGGCACAGAAUCUGAAGCAGGCUCCAGGCUCUAAGCUCUCAGCACAGAGCCUGACUCAGGGCUUGAACCAUGAACCACAAGAUCAUGACCUGAGCCAAAUUCAGCCACUUAACUGACUGAACCAUUCAGGCGCCCCCCAACCAUGACGCUUCUGAAGAGUAUUGGUUAGUUAUUUUAGACAGGGUCUCUCUAGUGUCUUAUGUUCUCCCAUUAUUAAAUUGAGGUUAUACAUUUGGGGGGAAGAAAUAUCACAGAAGUGAUGUGCCCUUCUCAAUUCAUUCUAUCAGGAAGAUAUGUGAUGUUGAUAUGUUUUGUUACUGGUGAUAUAAAUUUUUAUGUCUGUAUUUUAAAGCACCACACCCUUCAUUUCUCUCUUCCCAUCUGUCCAUAACAUUUGUCUUUGGCAGAAUGAAAGAACAAGAAUUAAUCAAAAAUUUGUUUGAAUUUUACUGAUCUCUUUAUAACUCCCACCACAUCAGGCCUAUAGCACUUAAAAGAUCCCAGAGGUGAACUUCACCCUCAUGAUUUUAAGCUUUACAUUUGGGAAAACAGCUCAUGAGGAUUCUAAAACAAAAAAGGAAAUGUUUGUAAAAUACCUUUUGACUUUUUAUUAUGGAAAUUUUCAAACAUACACAAAAGUAAAAUCGAAUAUUGUCGUGUACCCAUCAUCCAAUUUGAACAACUAUCAACAUUCUGCCAUUCUUGUUUCAUCUGUUAUCUAUCCCCUCAUCCUCACCAUUUUUUCUGGAAUAUUUUAAAUCAAAUCCCAGAUAACAUUAAUAAUUUUGUCCCUAAAUAGUUCAGUAUGUAUCUUUAAUAAAUGGCACUUUAAAAAAUCAUAAUGCUAUUAUAGCCCACAAAAUCAAUGAAAUCAGAUAAUCUUAUUUAAUGUCUGAUAAUCCAAUUUCUGAUAGAUUUUCUCAAAGAUAGCAUUUUACCUUUCAUUAGAGCCCAAAAUCCAUAUUGCAUUUGUUUUUGCCUUUUAAGGUACUUUUAAUCUAUAAUAGUUUUCCCUUCCCCAUUUCUUUGUUGUAGAAACUGAGUCAUUUUUCUUAUAGAAUUCCCACAUUUUAGAUUUGGCUGAUGGAAUCCUCAUGAUGUCAUUUAACAUGUUCUUCUGUCCUUAUUUCCUGUAAACUGGUUGGUGGAUCUAGUGACUUGAUUAAAUUCAGGUUCUUUUUUGAGGCAAGAAUACUUCAUAGGUGAUACUGAUACAUUUAUGCAGAUGCUCAACCUUUCAUUUAAUAGUUUUAGUAAUCAUCAGUGAUUGCCCCAAUUUAUUAUUUCUUUAGAUAUUACAAAUAGUACUUCCUAAUUCUACCAUUCUUCUUGCAUUUAUUAAAUUUUUUAUAAAGAAGAAAUUUUGGGGGGUGCCUGAGUGGCUCGGUUUGUUAAGUGUCUGACUUCGGCUCAGGUCAUGAUCUUGAGGUUCAUGAGUUUGAGCCCCAUGUCGGGCUCUCUGCUGUCAGCACAGAGCCUCCUUCACAUCCUCUGUUUCCCUCUCUCUCUGCCCCUCCCUACCCUCUUUCUCGCUCUCAAAAUAAAUAAAAACAUUGAAAAAAAAAA